ensembl:lncRNA
CAGGCAUCACCGUGCAUUAUUCAGAGCCGCCACUAGGUGGCGGUGGAUACACACUUCUGAGGAGGUACGCACCUGCGAGACUAGGCAAUUGCGGUCUCUGAAGGUUCUGGGUCUUACUUUGGAAGAGGAGAACCCUGAGAAGACACUCACCUUAUGGAGAAGCUUCACUGCCAUCUCUAAUGCUCUCCAGAGCUCAGCCAAGGAUAACUCCAUCUGCCCAGGGGCUGGAGCAACUUGCUGCUGUCUCCAUUCAUGGUGAAGAAGGAAACUGAUCUCAGGGAGAUGCUUAUGAAAAAUUCCAGAAGUGACAGUGCUGUGGGAGCUGAGGGUCUCUGUCUCUCUCUCCUUCCAUCCUGCCUCCAACUUUCCCAAGGGGGCUCAGUCACUGAGGGGCUCUUGCUCCUAAUCUGUGGACUCUCCAGAACACGAUGGAAAAGUUCAACACCUACAUGCGACUCCACUCUCUGGUAUUGUCUCAGGUUUCCUCUCUUCUGAACACAUGUGCAUCUGAAUGCAUUCAAGCAAGAUUCUUUUGGCCAUUUAUGUAUGGCAUGUCUCUGAUUACCAGCUGGGCACUUCAAAGUGGGGAGAACAUAAGGACAGCCUAAUGUAGGCAGUUAUAUUUACAACCUGGAACAACUGACAAAAUGUAAAUUGGAAAUCUGCUUGGUGCUGGAGUGAGACAGGAAAUGUGAGACUUACAAAACAUUCAUCUGGAUUUUAGAUUUCAUUUUAUGUAUACCUGUUAAAUCUCAGAAUGUCAAAUGGUGGAGCAGGGUAUAAAAUGGGAAUAAUCUCCCUUCCAGUUCCUCAAAUUGCCCAAACCCAACCAGAUUGCCAUAUAAUCUCAGAGAUACUUUCUAAGCAGAUAUCUGCAUAGUGGUUUAAACGAUAAUGCUGUGAAAAUUCAUUUUACCCUCUUUCUCUCUCAUUUGACAAUAUAUGUAAGAUACCUUCCUUUAUCAACACAUAUAGUUGCAUAGUAAUACAUUAUAAGGUACUCGUUUCUUAUUAGUUUUCCCCUCUAUUGAUCAAUUUUGGUGUUUUUUUCCCUCUUACUAUGAAAAAUGAUGCUAUGAAUAUUCUUAGAUAUUCAUGUCAUUUCUAUUUCUGUUAUAAAUCCCCAGAGUUGGAAUUUUCUGCUUUUAAGGUAGACGUAUUGAUGCUAGUGCUUUUUAUUGGCAUCAAAUUAUACUCCAAAGAUUUUGGAUUCAUUCGCAUAGGUACUAUGACUGUAUAGUCAUGUGUCACUUAAUGAUGGAGGUAAAUUCUGUGAAAUGCAUCAGUAGGCAGUUUGAUCAUUGUAUGAACAUCAUAGAGCAUACUCACACAAACCUAGGUGGUAUAGGCUGUUACACGCCUAGGUCAUAUUGUAUAGUCUAUUGCUCCUAGACUACAAACCUAUACAGCAUGUUACUAUACUGAAUCCUAAAGGCAAUUGUGACACAAUGGUAAGUAUUCGUGUGUCUAAACCUAUCUAAACAUAGAAAUGGUACAGUAAGAAUACUGUACAAAAGAUAAAGAAUGAUAAGCCUGUAUAGAGCACUUACCAUGAAUGGAGCUUGCAGGACUGGAAGUUGCUCUGGGUAGGUCAGUGAGUGAGUGGUGAGUGACUGUGAAGGCCUGGGACAUUAUUGUACACUACUGCAGACUCUGUAAGCCCUGAAUCAGUGUGCAGUGUACAGUUAUACUGUAUAAGGCUACAUUAAUUUUACACAAAAACACUUUUCUUUCUUCGUUAAUAAAUUAACCUUAGCUUGCUGU